rnacentral:rRNA from 1 species
GACGAACGCUGGCGGCGUGCUUAACACAUGCAAGUCGAACGAAGUGGCGAACGGGUGAGUAACGCGUAAUCAACCUGCCCUUCAGAGGGGGACAACAGUUGGAAACGACUGCUAAUACCGCAUACUGAAGGAGGGGAAUGCGUCUGAUUAGCUAGUUGGAGGGGUAACGGCCCACCAAGGCGAUGAUCAGUAGGCGGUAUGAUAGGAUGAACUGAAACAUUGUGACUGAGACACGGCCCAGACGACUACGGGAGGAAGCAGUUGGGAAGCUUCCGCAAUGGACGAAAGUCUGACGGAGCAACGCCGCGUGAGGGAUGACGGCCUUCGGGUUGUAAAGCUAUGUUAAUCGGGACGCGGUACCGGAAUAGAAAGCCACGGCUAACUACGUGCCAGCAGCCGCGGUAAUUC